UGCAGGUUGAGUUACCAUGCUUUCCCCUAGAACAGCAGAUGGUCCUUCAGCAACCCCUGGUUGGAAAUCUGAGCCCUUGGACUUCUUUAGUACAGGUGGAGCAACUUCAGAAGCAAUCUCCCCUUGAAUCAAUGAUUCCUGGCUCAACUCAGAGCCCUUGGACUUCUUCAGUACAGGUGGAGCAACUUCAGAAGCAAUCUCCCCUAGAUUCAAUGAUUCCUGGCUCAACUCAGAAGCAGGUGGAGCCAGACGUUUGCGAAGGGGUGACUUUCCUGGUAAGACAGCAUUUCCCUGACUUUCAAAAUCAUGUGAUAUAGCAUGCUUUCCUUCAUUGUUAG
rnacentral:lncRNA from 1 species